rnacentral:rRNA from 1 species
CGGACGGGUGAGUAACGCAUGGGGAACCUGCCCUGUACAGGGGGAUAACACUUAGAAAUAGGUGCUAAUACCGCAUAAGCGCACAGUAUCGCAUGAUACAGUGUGAAAAACUCCGGUGGUACAGGAUGGACCCGCGUCUGAUUAGCCAGUUGGCAGGGUAACGGCCUACCAAAGCGACGAUCAGUAGCCGGCCUGAGAGGGCGGACGGCCACAUUGGGACUGAGACACGGCCCAAACUCCUACGGGAGGCAGCAG